rnacentral:rRNA from 1 species
UACGAAGGGGGCUAGCGUUGUUCGGAUUUACUGGGCGUAAAGCGCACGUAGGCGGAUUGUUAAGUCGGGGGUGAAAUCCUGGAGCUCAACUCCAGAAUUGCCUUCGAUACUGGCUUUCUAGAGGCUGGAAGAGGUUAGUGGAAUUCCCAGUGUAGAGGUGAAAUUCGUAGAUAUUGGGAGGAACACCCGUGGCGAAAGCGGCUCUCGUGGACCACUACUGACGCUGAGGCGCGAAAGCCUGAAGGGGAGCAAACAGGGGAUUAA